rnacentral:rRNA from 1 species
CGGCUCAGUAACACGUGGAUAACCUACCCUUGAGACGGGGAUAAACCCGGGAAACUGGGUAUAAUACCCGAUAGAUCUCGACUGCUGGAAUGCAUCGAGCUUGAAAGCUCCGGCGCUCAAGGAUGGGUCUGCGGCCUAUCAGGUAGUAGUGGGUGUAGCGUACCUACUAGCCUACGACGGGUACGGGUUGUGAGAGCAAGAGCCCGGAGAUGGAUUCUGAGACACGAAUCCAGGCCCUACGGGGUGCAGCAGGCGCGAAAACUUUACAAUGCUGGAAACAGCGAUAAGGGGACCUCGAGUGCCAGGUUACAAAUCUGGCUGUCGUGAUGCCUAAAAAGCAUUGCAUAGCAAGGGCCGGGCAAGACCGGUGCCAGCCGCCGCGGUAACACCGGCGGCUCGAGGGGUAACCGUUAUUAUUGGGUCUAAAGGGUCUGUAGCCGGCCGGAUAAGUCUCUUGGGAAAUCUGGCAGCUUAACUGUCAGGCUUUCAGGAGAUACUGUCUGGCUCGAGGCCGGGAGAGGUGAGAGGUACUUCAGGGGUAGGGGUGAAAUCUUGUAAUCCUUGAAGGACCACCAGUGGCGAAGGCGUCUCACCAGAACGGACCUGACGGCAAGGGACGAAAGCUAGGGGCACGAACCGGAUUAGAUACCCGGGUAGUCCUAGCCGUAAACGAUACUCGCUAGGUGUCG